AGUCGAACGAAGAUGUUCUUGUGUUCGCACGAGAGCUCUUAGUGGCGGACGGGUGAGCAACGCGUUGGUGACCUGCCCUAAAGAAGGGAACAACCUCGGGAAACUGAGGCUAAUACCCUAUGUGCUUCUUAAGAUUAGAAGCUUUUGAAGUAAAGGUUCUGUGGACGAAAGGCCACAGCGCCGCUUUAGGAGGGGCCUGCGUCCCAUCAGCUAGUUGGUAGGGUAAUGGCCUACCAAGGCAAUGACGGGUAGGGGACCUGAGAGGGUGACCCCCCACACUAGCACUGAAACACGGGCUAGACACCUACGGGUGGCAGCAGUAGGGAAUCUUGCACAAUCGACGAAAGUCUGAUGCAGCAACGCCGCGUGUGCGAUGAAGGCCUUCGGGUUGUAAAGCACUUUUCUGAGGGAAGAGAAAGGACGGUACCUCAGGAAUAAGUCUCGGCUAACUACGUGCCAGCAGCCGCGGUAAUACGUAGGAGGCAAGCGUUAUCCGGAUUUAUUGGGCGUAAAGCGCGUGCAGGUGGUUUGGUAAGUUGGGUAUGAAAUCUCCUGGCUUAACUAGGAGAGGUUGCUCAAAACUCCCAGACUAGAGGACGAUAGAGGAAGGUGGAAUUCCCGGUGUAGUAGUGAAAUGCGUAGAUAUCGGGAGGAACACCAGUGGCGAAGGCGGCCUUCUGGGUCGUUCCUGACACUAAGACGCGAAAGCAUGGGUAGCAAACGGGAUUAGAAACCCCGGUAGUCCAUGCCGUAAACGAUGUGAACUUGAUGUCGGUGGCGUAAUAGUCAUCGGUGUCGUAGUUAACGCGAUAAGUUCACCGCCUGGGGAGUACGAUCGCAAGGUUAAAACUCAAAGGAAUUGACGGGGACCCGCACAAGCAGCGGAGCGUGUGGUUUAAUUCGAUGCUACACGAAGAACCUUACCUGGGCUUGACAUAUAGGUGGUAGGGAUCCGAAAGGUGACCGACCCUUCGGGGAGCUUAUACAGGUGCUGCAUGGCUGUCGUC
rnacentral:rRNA from 1 species